GAUGAACGCUGGCGGCGUGCCUAAUACAUGCAAGUCGAGCGAAGGGGGGACGGGUGAGUAACACGUGGAUAAACUCCUAUAAGAAUGGGUUAACUUCGGGUAACCGGUGCUAAAGCGGCUACUUGAGUUGGAUCGGCGCUGCGUUAGCUAGUUGGUAAGGUAACGGCUUACCAAGGCAACGAUGCAUAGCCGACCUGAGAGGGUGAUCGGCCACACUGGAACUGAGACACGGCCCAGACUCCUACGGGAGGCAGCAGUAGGGAAUCUUCGGCAAUGGGCGAAAGCCUGACGGAGCAACGCCGCGUGAGUGAUGAAGGUCUUCGGAUCGUAAAACUCUGUUAUUAGGGAAGCGGUACCUAAUCAGAAAGCCACGGCUAACUACGUGCCAGCAGCCGCGGUAAUAC
rnacentral:rRNA from 1 species